AUGAGUAAAAGAAGAAGAUCUGUAAAGGAGAUCCUAACUCUAAGGUCUUAGCUAUGAAUGAAAGGUAAGAAAGAUCAAAAGAGAUGAGUAGGAGUAAAUCCAAGAAUAGAUCGAAGUCUCAGAAUCAAAGGAAGAUCAUGAAAUGUUAUAAGUGUAGUCAGCUUGGGCAUAUAACGAAGUACUAUCCUCUUUUGAAAUUAGAAAAGGGAAAGGCC
rnacentral:lncRNA from 1 species